rnacentral:tRNA from 3 species
GCACCCCUAGCUCAAUUGGAUAGAGCAACGGUCUUCGGAACCGUAGGUUAGUGGUUCGACUCCACUGGGGUGCA